rnacentral:rRNA from 1 species
UAGGGAAUCUUCCACAAUGGGCGCAAGCCUGAUGGAGCAACACCGCGUGAGUGAAGAAGGGUUUCGGCUCGUAAAGCUCUGUUGUUGGAGAAGAACGUGCGUGAGAGUAACUGUUCACGCAGUGACGGUAUCCAGCCAGAAAGUCACGGCUAACUACGUG